rnacentral:rRNA from 1 species
AGCGAACGCUGGCGGCAGGCCUAACACAUGCAAGUCGAACGAAGUCUUCGGACUUAGUGGCGGACGGGUGAGUAACACGUGGGAACGUGCCCUUUGGUACGGAAUAACUCAGGGAAACUUGAGCUAAUACCGUAUGUGCCCUUCGGGGGAAAGAUUUAUCGCCAUUGGAGCGGCCCGCGUCUGAUUAGCUAGAUGGUGAGGUGAAGGCUCACCAAGGCGACGAUCAGUAGCUGGUCUGAGAGGAUGAUCAGCCACAUUGGGACUGAGACACGGCCCAAACUCCUACGGGAGGCAGCAGUGGGGAAUCUUGCGCAAUGGGCGAAAGCCUGACGCAGCCAUGCCGCGUGAAUGAUGAAGGUCUUAGGAUUGUAAAAUUCUUUCACCGGGGACGAUAAUGACGGUACCCGGAGAAGAAGCCCCGGCUAACUUCGUGCCAGCCGCCGCCGUAAUAC